UUUUGACAUUUGCACUUGUGUUUUCCCUCCAUAUUGCAAAAAUAUAUUUGGAAAUAAAUAAAAAAAUUAAUUUAUUAAAUGAAAAAAAAUUGACAAACAAACCAAAAGAUCAGUGAAUUGGGAACAAAAAGAAAAGGAUCUACUAUCUAACCUUGUAUUGGACAAGUUGGAAAUAAUUGAAAAUGCUAGUAUCGAUACCAACACAAAUACAAUUAAAGGAGAAGCUUGGAAUAGUGUGCACAAUUUAUUUAAUAAAGUGUCUAAAAACAAUAGAUCCAUUUAACAGAUUCAAAAUCAGUGGAGGAAAACGAAGUCUCUAGCAAUGACAAAAAAUUCUGCCUAUCUCCGACAAACAAAACAGGCUGGUGGUGGCCCAGCUCCUGAACCUUUAAAUGGCGUUAAGGAAGAGCUAAUUUGUCGAUUGCUUAAACAUUUUGGAAUUUACAAAAACAUAUAUGAUAGUGGAAAUCAAUUGCAGUAACGAAAUUUUGGAUUGCGAAAAAAUAAAUUUGGAAAACAUAAAGCAAAAAAAAACAACAAAUGCGAAAAGUUCGUUGAGAAUUCCAAAAGAAUAAAAUUAUUUGAUAUCAGUAUAAAACAAAAAGAAUUGGAAAUGAAAUUUAUUGAAGAAAUUUUAUGCAAAAAAAGAAGAAUGAAAUAAUAAAUUUACAAUUAAUUGAGGAACAUGGACUGAAGGUGGAAAAAUGUAAACUAGAAAUUGAAAAAUUAAAGAAAUUUCAAUAUCGAAAUGAAAUUUCAGACAAUUUUUAAAAGUUUCAGCCAAUUAUUAAAAGAUGCCAAAUUUUUUCAGAUGCCAGUCACUACAUUUUAAUUUUGUUUUUUUAAUUAAAGCACAUGCCAAAAAAAUGUUUAAUCCAGAGAUCAAAGUAUACUUUUCUAAAGGAUUGAGCUGCGCCGAAUCUGGAAUCUGUGAUGUAGAAAUCACAUCAAGUUUUCGAUAUAACAUUUUAAUAAAAACAUUUUUGGGUCAUAGGUAAGACGUUAUAACAUCGCAGACCCCUUUAUUUAUAAAAUGUGUUUUCACCUGUAACAAAACGUUAUCUUAAAAUAAAUUUUAUUUGUUAUAAAUAUUUUAAACUUUAAUAUCGAAAACUUCAUUUGAUGUAAAAAGUCAGAGUCCUGAUUAAGAGCCGCUUAAUCAAUCUUUAGAAAAGUAUACUUGAUUUCUACGUUGAAUAUUUUUUGUGAUUUUAUUGAUCUUUUUUUUAUAUAAUGAAUUUUUAUAUAAUGAAUAUUCGAAUUAAG